rnacentral:lncRNA from 1 species
AGAUGCAGGGGGACGUACCGGAACAUUUUUCUCAUCAGCAUUACUUUUCUUAGAUGAUCUUGCAGCCUCCUUAGUUUUUCUUGCCUUCUUCAUAGCUAGAAUUAACAAAGACAGAGAAAACAAUUUCGGCUUCGUAUUAGAGAAGCAUUUUUGUGGAAUAAAAUGCAAGGAAUCAUUUUGUGGUGUUCUGCUAACAAAUAAAAGGAAUAGUAUAACUGGAAACUUGAAUGGAAUCUAUUACACUUAAUCAUGUGUC